ACUCUACGGAGGCAGCAGUAGGGAAUCUUCCACAAUGGGCGCAAGCCUGAUGGAGCAACACCGCGUGAGUGAAGAAGGGUUUCGGCUCGUAAAGCUCUGUUGUUAAAGAAGAACACGUAUGAGAGUAACUGUUCAUACGUUGACGGUAUUUAACCAGAAAGUCACGGCUAACUACGUGCCAGCAGCCGCGGUAAUACGUAGGUGGCAAGCGUUAUCCGGAUUUAUUGGGCGUAAAGAGAGUGCAGGCGGUUUUCUAAGUCUGAUGUGAAAGCCUUCGGCUUAACCGGAGAAGUGCAUCGGAAACUGGAUAACUUGAGUGCAGAAGAGGGUAGUGGAACUCCAUGUGUAGCGGUGGAAUGCGUAGAUAUAUGGAAGAACACCAGUGGCGAAGGCGGCUACCUGGUCUGCAACUGACGCUGAGACUCGAAAGCAUGGGGUAGCGAACAGGAUUAGAUACCCUGGUAGGAUAGCG
rnacentral:rRNA from 1 species